rnacentral:lncRNA from 1 species
AUGUACCCUUACAUGGCGAAACGAUUGGCUGAGCGGGCUUUCCCUUGCCAACUGGACUUAAGUGAAACGCGGCGUUUCAUUUAAGUGGCGCCCUUUUUUAAAAACACACAUGGUUCGAUCCUUGGAGAUGGUGAUUUCAAAUUUUGGUUUUGGCAUUUUCUCAUUAUAUGCUUCACAGGUUCAUAUGCCAUUCCACAUGAUUUUUCAUUUUUU